UCCAGCAAUUUCUGUUUUCGUUUCAGACUUCCAGCAUCUGCCCUUCUUUGGUGUUAAUGAAAAGAAUUUCUUGGGGUUGACAGUGAAGAUAUUUUCUCUGACAGGGGAGGAAUGAGACCACUCUGGGCUAAGGUAUUAUUGAAUUUCCUCCUUUGAAUACAACACGAUACCUGAGCUGUACAAAUGAACGCCCUGCUGUUGGAAAUGGGUCUGUCAAUAAACAGAUGGUCUCGAAAUUUUCAAAAGACCAAGAUUCUCACUGGAUGCUGCGUCCUCGGUUGGAGUUUAACAUUGUUCUAUUGAAAUUCCACCCUGGGGGAAAUCAUCAAACACUGUCCACA